GAUGAACGCUGGCGGCGUGCCUAAUACAUGCAAGUCGAGCGAACGGACGAGAAGCUUGCUUCUCUGAUGUUAGCGGCGGACGGGUGAGUAACACGUGGAUAACCUACCUAUAAGAAUGGGAUAACUUUGGGAAACCGGAGCUAAUACCGGAUAAUAUUUUGAACCGCAUGGUUCAAAAGUGAAAGAAGGUCUUGCUGUCACUUAUAGAUGGAUCCGCGCUGCAUUAGCUAGUUGGUAAGGUAACGGCUUACCAAGGCAACGACGCAUAGCCGCCCUGAGGGGGUGAUCGGCCAGCCUGGAACUGAGACACGGCCCCGACUCCUACGGGAGGCAGCAGUAGGGAAUCUUCCGCAAUGGGCGAAAGCCUGACGUAGCAACGCCGCGUGAGUGAUGAUGGUCUUCGGAUCGUAAAACUCUGUUAUUAGGGAAGAUCAUAUGUGUAAGUAACUGUGCACAUCUUGACGGUACCUAAUCAGAAAGCCACGGCUAACUACGUG
rnacentral:rRNA from 1 species